rnacentral:misc_RNA from 1 species
GAACGCACAUUGCGCCUCAUGGCAUUCCGUGAGGCAUGCCCAUCUCAGUGUCAGUAAAUAUCAUCAAAUUUUGGCAUUGUGCCAAAUUUUGGAAUAUGUCAAGGAAGCUAUUACAAUUCAUGUGGAUAGCUCUUUGGAAAUUGAUAGGUCUUCAAGUGGCAAUCAUUGAAACGUGAUGAAAAUUACUUCGUUCAAAUAUUGUUAACUUGUAUAGUCCUGAAAUGUAUAUACCGUUUUGGUAUGUUUGAAAUUUGACCUGAGAUUGGGUAGGGAUACCCGCUGAACUUAAG